GGAUGAGAGGAUCUGGCUGCGACAUCUGUCACCCCAUUGAUCGCCAGGGUUGAUUUGGCCGAUCUGGCUAAGCGGAUGUCCCCUUCCUCCCUCACCGCUCUAUGUGCGUCCCUCCCGAAGCUGUGCACUGUCAAGAGGACGACCAUUCUCGAUAGAGGAGGACCGUUCUUCAGUCAAGGGUAUACAAGUAGCUGUGCUCCCCUGCUACGACCUCCAAACAAGCUCUCAGGAGGCAGCUAUCGGGAGGAUCCAGUUCAAAGCCAGCCCAGGCAAAUAGGUAGGAAGACCCUACCU
rnacentral:snRNA from 1 species